rnacentral:rRNA from 1 species
UACAGAGGUCCCAAGCGUUGUUCGGAUUCACUGGGCGUAAAGGGUGCGUAGGUGGCCGGGUAAGUCUGACGUGAAAUCUCCGAGCCUAACUCGGAAACUGCAUCGGAUACUAUCCGGCUUGAGGAUUGGAGGGGGGACUGGAAUACUUGGUGUAGCAGUGAAAUGCGUAGAUAUCGUAAGGAAGACCAGUGGCGAAGGCGGGUCUCUGGACAGUUCCUGACGCUGAGGCACGAAGGCCAGGGGAGCAAACGGG